UAAAAGAGCAAGGACUAUAUUCUGAUAGUUCCAAUCAACAGACAGCAUUUGCUUGUUAUUUGACCAAAAAAUUGCACCAAGGCCUUCAUCACGCAAUGAGUUUGCUUUCCAUCACUUCGCUUCUGGCCCUUCUUGCCCUGGCAUCAGCCUGGGACAAUGAAUACGAUGGUUUCUUGAAGAAGGAAUGUCCUCCUAGUGAUUCCAUCUAUGAGAUCCAGGUACGUGGUUGACGGGCCCUCGACAUAGAGCUAAUACCCUACCCAAAAACACUUCUAUGAUAUCUAGAACGUUGUUUUGGGUGGAAUCGUGCUCUCAACAGAAUUUUUAAUCCGCAUUUUUGGCUUUUUAUUUUAUAUCUUUCAAAAAAGAUUUAGGCAUUAGAUCUAGGAACUUGUGAUAUUUUUUGAGGACCCCUGAAGCUCUCUUGGAAUGUAAUUCCCUGCAACAGGCUGAAGAGCACUUCGAAUCCAGUAAUUGUGGCUUGUCUCCAAAAGAACGUUGGACGUAAUUCAGGAGUAUCCAUGACAACCAUCAUGAGGACCGAAUUUGGGAAUGGAGAUGCCAGCCUUCUGGAUACGAACUUGAAUUUUGUUCGUGGUCAGGUGAGGUGAAUCAAUUUGACGGGCCAAUGAAUUUCGAGUGUAGUAAUGGAGUGAUUACUGGUGUGGAAUCUACUAACAACAACAACCACGAAGACCGUGUCUGGAACUUCAAGUGCUGCGGCAAGGCCGGCUUUUGCUACUCAGACUGCUCAAAAUCCUCCGCAGCAAAUGCUUAUGACGGACCAUUAUCUUACACGGUUGAUCCUGGAUAUUUUUUGACUGGAGCUGAUUCCGUCCAUAGCGACCAUGAUGAAGAUCGUGUUUGGCACUUCCACACCUGCAAGAUUGUCCCAUGUUAAACAACAUCCUGGAUUGUCUCUUGAUUGGAUUAGAAAUGGAUAAUAUUUCUUUUGUCAGUGUGAUGGAGGAUCACUCUUCUGAACCGAGCGCAGAAAAUAAAUUUUUGGUAUUAUGUUGA